rnacentral:rRNA from 1 species
GUUGACCUCGGAUCAGGUAGGGAUACCCGCUGAACUUAAGCAUAUCAAUAAGCGGAGGAAAAGAAACCAACAGGGAUUGCUCUAGUAACGGCGAGUGAAGCAGCAAUAGCUCAAAUUUGAAAUCUGGCGUCUUCGACGUCCGAGUUGUAAUUUGUAGAGGAUGCUUCUGAGUAACCACCGACCUAAGUUCCUUGGAACAGGACGUCAUAGAGGGUGAGAAUCCCGUAUGCGGUCGGAAAGGUGCUCUACACGUAGCUCCUUCGACGAGUCGAGUUGUUUGGGAAUGCAGCUCUAAAUGGGAGGUAAAUUC